rnacentral:rRNA from 1 species
UUGCGAAAGUGUGGCUAAUACCGGAUGACACCAUCGGAUCGCAUGGUCCGGUGAUCAAAGGUGGGGACCUUCGGGCCUGCCGGUUUGGGGUCAGCCUAUGUCCUAUCAGCUUGUUGGCGGGGUAACGGCCCACCAAGGCGACGACGGGUAGCGGGCGUGAGAGCGUGACCCGCCUCAUCGGGACUGAGACACUGCCCGGACACCUACGGGUGGCUGCAGUAACGAAUAUUGGGCAAUGGGCGCAAGCCUGACCCAGCAAUGCCGCGUGCAGGAGGAAGCCCUUCGGGGUGUAAACUGCUGUCAGGGUUUCGCAAGCAAGGCCGGUUAAUAGCCGGCGGCGUUGAGCAGACCCAGAGGAAGUCUCGGCUAACUCUGUGCCAGCAGCCGCGGUAAGACAGAGGAGGCGAGCGUUGUUCGGAAUUAUUGGGCUUAAAGCGCGUGUAGGCGGCUUGGUAAGUGUUCCGUGAAAGCCCACGGCUCAACCGUGGAACUGCGGGGCAUACUGCCCGGCUUGAGGUUGCUAGGGGUGCCUGGAACUCUAGGUGGAGCGGUGAAAUGCGUAGAUAUCUAGAGGAACGCCAGAGGCGAAAGCGAGGCACUGGAGCAAUUCUGACGCUGAGACGCGAAAGCGUGGGGAGCAAACAGGAUUAGAUACCCUGGUAGUCCACGCUGUAAACGAUGCACACUGGAUCUGGCGACUCUGACGGUUGCCGGGUCGUAGCGAAAGCCGUUAAGUGUGCCGCCCUGGGGAUUACCGGCCCGCAAGGCUAAAACUCAAAGGAAUUGACGGGGGCUCACACAAGCGGUGGAGCAUGUGGCUUAAUUCGAAGCAACGCG